GGCCUCGCGCGCCCCGUCCUGGGAGACCGAUCUCGCCCUCGCGUUGGCGGCGUCCCCUGCCGGCCGGGCGGCGAUUUGCAGGCCCAGCCGGCGCCGGUUUCACGCGGCGGCUCAACGUUCGCGGAGCCCCACGAGUACCCACCCGCUGGUCAGAUCGGCGGCCGCUGCCGCGGGGAGAAGCAGUAGCGUGUAGGGCGGGCACGCUGGUCCUGCUUCCAGUUGGGCUUCGAUUUUACACGUGAAGAAAGGAUGUCUCAGAGGAGUUAGAGAAGAGCAAUUAAUAGACAGUGCUAAAGCCUGGAUCUCCUGAAUCCUGGAUGAAAGUGUCAUAAGUUAGAUUCCUGGGAAGAAAAUUCUGAGACACAUUCUGCUGGAUGAUUAUUAGGGCUCAUCCUUGGUUUCAACACCCAUAGAAGGAAGGGGGAAGAAGGAAUCGAACAGAGGAGAGACAGAAGUCGAGAUGCAUUUCAGGCCGGGACUCUUGACUGAACCCACAGGAGCUUUGGAGCUAGAAUGGCCCUUCAGAGUUUUCCUGAGUUGGGCUGAGAUGGCCAGUUCUUUAUAUUCCUGCAUGGGAUAGUCACUGGAUGUCCACCCCAGGAAGCAGUGUGGCCAAGACAGUCCCUGAAAUGCCUGCCAGCACUCCCUAUACCUGGAGCAAUGAGACCAACAUCACAGGGGGAUAUACUGGGUGAGGAUCACAGCAUUCAUCCCAGAAGAUGAGGAUACAGAAUUGGCUGACUGCUACAUUCUAAAUGUCAAUGUUCCCCAAAAUUCAUAUGUUGAAACUUAAUUCCCCAAUGUGAUGGCAUUAGGAAAGGGGGCCUUUGGGAGGGGCUAUAGGUCAUGAGUGGGAUUAGUGUCCAGAGAGCUGCCUUGCCCUUCCACCAUGUGAGGACAUAGUGAGAAGGUGCCAUCUAUGAACGAGGAAGUGGGCGCUUACUACCAGACACCCACUCUUCGGGCAACUUAAUCUUGAAUUUCCCAGCAUCCAGAACUCUGAGAAAUCAAUUUCUGCUGAUUAUAAGCUACCCAGUCCAUAGCAUUUUGUUAAAGCAGCUGAAACUAAACUAAGACAGUGACGUUUUCUGCAACAAAAAGAUAGAGUGAGUCUCUAUAGCAUACCAUGUAACAGAUGUGUUUGGAAAAAUAACCUCAUUUCAUAUGUUUCCUCAAGCUAAAAAGAAUAUCAUAACAACAAAUGAGAAAAUAGUUGGUUUAGAAAUAUUGCACCCUAUGGAGAGAGUAUUUUGGAUUUGGUUUUUUUGUUUUGUUUUUAACUUUUGUUUUAGGUUCAGGGGCACAUAUGCAGGCUGGUUAUAUAGGUAAACUCAUGUCACAGGGAUUUGUUGUACAGAUAAUUUCAUCACCCAGGUACUAAGCCUAGUACCCAAUAGUUGCUCUUUUUCCUCCUCUCCCUCCUCCCACCCUCCACCCUCAAAUAGGCCCCAGUUUGUGUUGUUCCUUUCAUUAUGUUCAUGAAGUUGAGAGAGUGUUUUGAAAAAGAAUGUUGGAAAGCAUUUCCACUGUUAGAUGAUUUUAAGUCAAAAAGUUAUAUAACAGUGUCACCUAUCUAGAUGCACACAAGCAUGGACACAGAAUUGUUUCAUAUGUUUAAAACUUUUCUAGAUCCUUUUGUGGUUCAUAAGCUUGAUGAUUGAGUUUUCACGUCCACGUGUGAGAUGUGCCUCCCUUGAGCCUUGUUACAAC
ensembl:lncRNA